GUGUGUUUCCUUCUCUUUCCCUCUCUCGCUCUUCUGCGGGCGCACCGAUGCCGAAGCACUCCAAGUCCACCGCUUGCUCACACAGUGGUGGUGAUGUGUAACAGCAGAGCCAUCGCAUGAGUAAUACUCUUCUUAGAGGGAUUCACGGUUCUGAAGCCGUAAGAAACUGAGAGCAAUAACAGGUCUGUGAUGCCCUUAGAUGUUCUGGGCCGCACGCGCGCUACAAUGCCGGGCUCAGCAGGUAUUCAUCCUUCUCCGAGAGGAGUGGGUAACCCUCUGAAAGCCCCAUAAACAUUUCUAUCAAAGGAGGGAGAGUUGAGCGUGUGCGUUCGCGCGUGCGCGUUUCUUUCUCYCCCUCCAACAUGGCUUGCUUGGGCCUGGGGCUUGCAAUUCUUUCCCACAAASGAGGAAUGCCUAGUAGCGGCGGAUCACUGAGUUCGCUGUGACUCAGUCCCUGCCCUUUGUACACACCGCCCGUCGCUACUA
rnacentral:rRNA from 1 species